GGAUCCAGACUUUGAUUAUGGCUCAGGAUGAACGCUAGCUACAGGCUUAACACAUGCAAGUCGAGGGGCAGCAUGAACUUAGCUUGCUAAGUUUGAUGGCGACCGGCGCACGGGUGAGUAACACGUAUCCAACCUUCCGUUUACUCAGGGAUAGCCUUUCGAAAGAAAGAUUAAUACCUGAUAGUAUGGUGAGAUUGCAUGAUAGCACCAUUAAAGAUUUAUUGGUAAACGAUGGGGAUGCGUUCCAUUAGGUAGUAGGCGGGGUAACGGCCCACCUAGCCGACGAUGGAUAGGGGUUCUGAGAGGAAGGUCCCCCACAUUGGAACUGAGACACGGUCCAAACUCCUACGGGAGGCAGCAGUGAGGAAUAUUGGUCAAUGGGCGAGAGCCUGAACCAGCCAAGUAGCGUGAAGGAUGAAGGUCCUACGGAUUGUAAACUUCUUUUAUACGGGAAUAAAGUAUCCUACGUGUAGGAUUUUGUAUGUACCGUAUGAAUAAGCAUCGGCUAACUCCGUGCCAGCAGCCGCGGUAAUACGGAGGAUGCGAGCGUUAUCCGGAUUUAUUGGGUUUAAAGGGAGCGCAGACGGGAGAUUAAGUCAGUUGUGAAAGUUUGCGGCUCAACCGUAAAAUUGCAGUUGAUACUGGUUUCCUUGAGUGCAGUUGAGGCAGGCGGAAUUCGUGGUGUAGCGGUGAAAUGCUUAGAUAUCACGAA
rnacentral:rRNA from 1 species